GCUCAACCGGGGAGGGUCGUUGGAAACUGGGGAACUUGAGUGCAGAAGAGGAGAGUGGAAUUCCACGUGUAGCGGUGAAAUGCGUAGAGAUGUGGAGGAACACCGGUGGCGAAGGCGACUCUCUGGUCUGUAACUGACGCUGAGGCGCGAAAGCGUGGGGAGCGAACAGGAUUAGAUACCCUGGUAGUCCACGCCGUAAACGAUGAGUGCUAAGUGUUAGAGGGUUUCCGCCCUUUAGUGCUGCAGCAAACGCAUUAAGCACUCCGCCUGGGGAGUACGGUCGCAAGACUGAAACUCAAAGGAAUUGACGGGGGCCCGCACAAGCGGUGGAGCAUGUGGUUUAAUUCGAAGCAACGCGAAGAACCUUACCAGGUCUUGACAUCCUCUGACAACCCUAGAGAUAGGGCUUCCCCUUCGGGGGCAGAGUGACAGGUGGUGCAUGGUUGUCGUCAGCUCGUGUCGUGAGAUGUUGGGUUAAGUCCCGCAACGAGCGCAACCCUUGAUCUUAGUUGCCAGCAUUCAGUUGGGCACUCUAAGGUGACUGCCGGUGACAAACCGGAGGAAGGUGGGGAUGACGUCAAAUCAUCAUGCCCCUUAUGACCUGGGGCUACACACGUGCUACAAUGGGCAGAACAAAG
rnacentral:rRNA from 1 species